GCAAGUCGAGGGUGAAGCUAUUUUCGGAUGGUGGAAACCGGCGCACGGGUGAGUAACGCGUACACUACCUACCUCAUACUGGGGAAUAGCCUUUGGAAACGAAGAGUAAUACCCCAUAGUUCCCGAUGUAUUUCGGGAUAAAGUUCCGGCGGUAUGAGAUGGGUGUGCGUCCCAUUAGCUAGUUGGUAGGGUAAAGGCCUACCAAGGCAACGAUGGGUAGGGGGCGUGAGAGCGUGAUCCCCCACACGGGUACUGAGACACGGACCCGACGACUACGGUCGGCAGCAGUAAGGAAUAUUGGACAAUGGGCGAAAGCCUGAUCCAGCCAUCCCGCGUGUAGGAUGACAGCCCUACGGGUCGUAAACUACUUUUGCUUGGGAAGAAACCCCUGGAUUUACUCCGGGGCUGACGGUACCUUGCGAAUAAGCACCGGCUAACUCCGUGCCAGCAGCCGCGGUAAUACGGAGGGUGCAAGCGUUAUCCGGAAUCACUGGGUUUAAAGGGUGCGUAGGCGGCGUUAUAAGUCAGAGGUGAAAGCUUGCAGCUUAACUGUAAAAUUGCCUCUGAUACUGUAGUGCUUGAAUCAGGUUGAGGUCAGCGGAAUGUGGCAUGUAGCGGUGAAAUGCAUAGAUAUGCCAUAGAACACCAAUUGC
rnacentral:rRNA from 1 species